GCCAGGCGGGUUGGUGCCUGCCUAUAAUCCCAGCAGCUCGGGAGGCUGAGGCAGGAGGAUCGAGAGUUCAACGCCAGCCUCAGCAACUCAGUGAGGCCCUAAGCAACUCGGGGAGACCCUGUCUCUA
rnacentral:sRNA from 1 species